UACAGAGGGUGCAAGCGUUAAUCGGAAUUACUGGGCGUAAAGCGCGCGUAGGUGGUUCGUUAAGUUGGAUGUGAAAUCCCCGGGCUCAACCUGGGAACUGCAUCCAAAACUGGCGAGCUAGAGUAUGGUAGAGGGUGGUGGAAUUUCCCGUGUAGCGGUGAAAUGCGUAGAUAUAGGAAGGAACACCAGUGGCGAAGGCGACCACCUGGACUGAUACUGACACUGAGGUGCGAAAGCGUGGGGAGCAAACAGG
rnacentral:rRNA from 1 species